GAAAAUUGUGAAACCUCAUUGUUGAGCAAGAGAAGUUUCGGCCAAUCUUCCUACCUUGCUUUGGGUGAGUUUUUUUGGUCCAUUUCUAUUAAUUUUUUAUGUUUUUGAGUUUGUUUUAGCUUAGUCUAACUAAUCCGAAGGUUGAUUUGUGAAAUCGUUAGAAGUUUAGGGACUUACCAUGAAUGUGAUAAAUGUAUUUGUGAACUUAGUUAUUAAAUCCUUGAGUUGAAGGUUAAGUAUAAGUAUUUUAAUAAAUGAUUUUUGAUGAUUUUGAGUUGAAGGACCUAUUUGAGAGUAUAGUAAAAUGCAAUGUGAAUAAUAUGAUAUGAUAGAAAUUUUGGGCUAAAUUGAAAAAUUAGAAAAAAAAUUGGCUAGUUUGUUUUUGCAUGGAUUGUAGUUAAAUUGUGAAUAUCGGUUUAAAGACUUAAUUGUACCAAUGUUAAAGUGUUGAAGGUAAUUUUGUAAAAUCACCUUAAAAAGGGUUAUGAGUUCGAAUUAGUUAUUUUAAGUUGAAUUUGAAUGAUUUAAUUGAAUAAAAUUAUUAUUUAGAUCAAGAUGCGCUACAACCGAACUUGAAUCGUGGAAAGGCCAAAGUUUUAGAUUAGUUGUCGGUACCUUUCUGUGCAAUUGUGUAGUCGAGGUAAGUUUGUUUAAUGGGAAACUAACCAAUUUUGUAAUUUGGUAGAAAAUUUAUUUAUGUUGCGUUUUGUAUAAUUUCUUUGUAUAUAAAUUGUUAAUUUUUUAUUUAAGCGAUAUUGUAAGUUUGUGUAAUUUAAGAUAAUGUGUGUAAAACGUUGAGGAUUAGGGAAUGAUAUGGAAACAUGCUUCAUUUGAGCCCUAUGAAUACUUAGGAUACAAAUGACACAUCAUUAGGGAUUAUACAUUUUCAGGUGCCGGUCUUGGGUGUCUUACCAAUGGCUGAGGUCCUGCAUUUGUUGCGGAUUCUCCACAGCUCGUGUGAGCAGCAUUGUGCAGUUUAACAUCCCGACCUACAGCUCGUGUGAGCAGGCCCAUUUCACAGCAUGUGUGAGUAUUAAAUUAUACGAUUAUACUUACAUGUACAGGCACACUUCGUGUGAGCAUGGUUCUCGUGUAUCGUAAGUAGAUUCGUUUUGUUCAAUGGGUAUUAAAGUUUAAGCAAAAGUUUGAGAUGUAUAAAUGUUACGUUGGAUAUAUGUUGAAUGUUAUGUACCAGUUCACUAACUUGUGAGAAUGGUGAUUGAAAUUAGGAAUCAGUUAUACAUAUGAGCAUGCAAAUGGAAUAAUACAUGAACUUUAUAAAUUGAGUCUAUUUGGUAAGUUUUUGUUUAAGUUUAUACGUGCUUACUAAGCAUUAUAUGCUUAUGUAUUUGUCUAUCUUUUCUUGUAGAUCAUUGGAAAGCUCAAUCGAUUGGAAUUUCGUUGGAGCACAAUCACACUAUCCAAUCAUUGUUUUGGUAGCUUUCGAUUACUUUGGUUAAGGUUAUAAAUGACAUGUAAUAGGGCUUAAAUAUUAUCUUAGGUUGUUUUGAUUAGGUGCCAGGUCUAUUUGUAUUUUAUUGCCCUUUUUGGGGAUGUUUUGUAAACAUGGUAUAGAUAUGUGAUGUUAAAUUCUUAUGCAUACCCUUUUGAAAGUAAAUAACAUUGGUUGUUUUGGCAUGUUUUAGGCUUGUUUAAAAGUGUUUUUAAAGUAUGGAAAUGGUUGGUUUUGAUUUGGCUUGGAACCUAGGUGUUGGAUGAAAGUUUGCCUUGUUUUAGAAGCUUUUUAAGGUGCACACAACCUGCCUACACGACCAUGUGUCUUAUUAAUUUUUAGGUGCAGGAUUUUUCACACGGUCACAAUUAGUUAUCAGUCUGGCCACAUGGGCGUAUGGGGAAGCCACACGGCCGUGUGACCCCUAUUUUUAAAAGUUUCAAAUUUUUGCAUAUUUUUUUGUUUUGAUUCAAAUUAGUCCCGAAUUGUUCCCAAACUAUUUUUUAGGCCCCGUAAGCUCGAUUUAAGGCCCGUAAGUUUAUUAUUACCCUGAUUGUUAUGAGCUGUUAAAUGUUAUCAUUUAUUCUAUAUUUUUUUGUUUCUGUUUGAUGAUAAAUGUCUUGAUUUGUACUGUAACGCUCCGUAACCCCAAUCCAACAAUGGAGACAGGUUAGGGGUGUUACAGUAUAAGAAUUGAAUUAAGGCCCGUGUGAGCUUAGUGAAUGAUUAGGAUAAAAAUGAUAUGCCAUUAGGUUUAAUUAGGCACUAUGUGUCGGUGAUUAUAGUUAUCAAGUACUUUCUAUUGGUGUUACAAUUAUCAGGCACCCUAUGCCGGUGUUAUAUUUAUCAGGUACUAUGUGUCGGUGGUGGAUAUCAUACCGAUUACGUUGGAUAUAUGUUGUAUGUCCUAAUUGUCAGCUUGUGUGAGCACGAUUACCCAUGUAUCCAAAGUUAAUUUAUUAUAGUUCUCCGGGCAAAACUAAGUUAAUGAAAUGAAUGGAAAUGGAAUCAUAUGGCCUGAAAUGUUAUUCAUAGAUGGAAUGUGAAUUGGCAUGUAUUUUAUGCUAUUUAGAUGUCUUGAUGAUACUAUAUACUUAUGACUAACCAUUUGGUAUGGUAGGGAAUGUGUAACAUGGCAAGGAAUACUAAGUUAUAUGUUAAUUUCAAUUAGUAUGAUUUUAAAUGACAUGUAUGUUGUGUUUAAAUUAUACGAACUUACUAAACUUUAUGUAAGCUUACCUCAUUUCAUUUUCUUUCGUGUAGAUUAUCAGAUUUAAGCUGUUGAUUGGAUCAUCUUUGGAGACCACACUAUCUGUUAACUCUUUUGGUAGCUAUUUACUCAUUUUGGCCCGAUUAUAAGUGGCAUGUAAAUAGGUUAAUGACAGUAUAUGUACAUGAGUAGUUUGGUUAUGUUUUGU
rnacentral:lncRNA from 1 species